AUCCUGGCUCAGGAUGAACGCUGGCGGCAGGCUUAAUACAUGCAAGUCGAACGGUAAGGCCGAGUGCAGCAAUGCAUGAGGUACACGAGUGGCGCACGGGUGCGUAACGCGUAUGCAACCUGCCCCCAACCGGGACAAAACAGCUGGAAACGGCUGCUAAUAUCCCAUGGCCACACGGGAGGGCAUCCUCCUGUGUGUAAAGAUUCAUUGGUUGGGGAUGGGCAUGCGUAUUAUUAGGUAGUUGGCGGGGUAACGGCCCACCAAGCCGACGAUGAUUAGGGGUCCUGAGAGGGUUAACCCCCACACUGGAACUGAGACACGGUCCAGACUCCUACGGGAGGCAGCAGUAGGGAAUAUUGGGCAAUGGGAGCAAUCCUGACCCAGCCAUGCCGCGUGAAGGAAGACGGCCCUAUGGGUUGUAAACUUCUUUUGCCGCAGAGUAAACCUGGGGACGUGUCCCCAGUUGAGAGUAUGCGGCGAAUAAGUAUCGGCUAACUCCGUGCC
rnacentral:rRNA from 1 species